GCCAUUGCUGACUCUACAGGUGUUCCUGAUUUUUGGCUGAUUGUGCAUACCUGGGAGGAGUAUUUAGGAGCCUGCCACCAGUCCUUUGUUGCCUGAGUGUUUUUGCCCAUGUGUACCUGUGAGGUGUGGGAGUUUUCCUCUCUACCUGGACUUGGACAUCCAGCACCUCUUACUACAGUUUGUGAACUUUGGAUUAUUCUCCACUGGACUGUGGUUUGCUUCCUAAACUUCCCAAGCUCCUACCUCUGUGUGGAUUCAGACCUGCUGGUGACAUUUCUUGUUGGACAAGUAUUCUGGAUUGCCUGACUCCCAAGCCCUGUGGUAUGAUUUCCCUGAUGUAUUUCUGCCCAGUGAACAAAAGAACAGUGAAGUCUGAAGAACCUGCCGACCAUUGCCUACUUGUUUUCCAGUGGAACUUUAAACAUUGUUUGUAAAUAACCCUUUGAACCUUUUGUGGUCUCCUGAGUGAGUUUGCAUGUGGGUCAAAUGAAUUCCUAAAGCGAUGACGCCAAGCCUCAAAGCCCUUGGAACUUUCAGCCCUGGCUCAAAGUCUCUGCUUUGCAUUGUGCCAAAGUUUUCAAGCUUCCAAGUAAUCUACCUGGAUCAAGUACUGGCUGACAGCUCUAAGCCUUCGUCCUCCUCCAAGCGAACCCUGCUCACAAUCCACAUCCAGCCUCCUGAAACCUCACAAGACUAAACAUCAGUUUCACUGCUCUCCCUGGCUUCACAUCAUUCUCCCUCGUCUAACCUAAUCUUCAUCUCCAGUUUAAUCCACAAUCUCCAUCAUGCUGACACACUGAGGAACUUCUCUUGAUGACUUUUACCAGGAUGAUGGCGCCCUCUAGUGUUGAAGAAGAGUUUGUUAACAUGAAACCCAACCUGUAACCCUGAUGCUGCUCAGUGACAGGAGAAAUGAUGAGCUUCACUUCUUUAGCUGUUUUUCCUUGGAAUGAGAGACGGAGGAACAUGAUCUUUAUCUCACUGAUCAAAAACAACCUAAUCUCUUUGUAAUUAACAUGUUUUAUUUCAACAAAGCCAGAAAGAAACACAUAUUUUCUGCUAUGUUCUGUACAUUAAAACAAUUUUCUGAUGGUUCAGACUAUUA